AGGAAGAUAACUGUGCAACAGGUUUUCAUUCAAUUACAGCCUUCAUAUGCAAGAUUAACAGAUUUUUCAAGGUGUGGUGGUGCUCUAGAUACCCAAAUGACAGAACCCACUACUGCCAAUUUCAGGUGUGCAGGAUGUGAAAGUAGUGUACAGUGAUGGAGCAAAAUCUGUCAGGAGGAGGAUAUGAGCUAACAGCAUAUUUCCAUUCUAAGUCCAUGGAAUCCCAUUUCUGCAAAUACCGCAUGGGAGAGUCUCAGAUUAUGGCCUUUUGAAUUGCUCUGAAUAUAGAUAUGAGAGGACUACAUGUCUAGUAUAAUUGAAACCACAGACCAUCUUCAGGGAAGAUAUCUGCCAUUUGCUAAAGCUUUGCUGUGAGGCUGUCCCUAGGAAAGAUGACUGCAAUUUCCCACUGUUUUAAUAUAUCUGAACCAGAGCCUCCCCACAGGGAUGGUGGCCAUCAUUUCACUGUUGCACAUCUCGCCAUCUUGAAACCCAUCGGUGCGAGACACAAGGAAUUGAAACGUGUAACAAAUGUCAAAAACGUGGAACCGUCUUGGUUUUGUUGUCCA